rnacentral:lncRNA from 1 species
AUGGCCAACACCUGCUGGAUCAUGGAAAAAGGAAGAGAGUUCCAGAAAAACAUCUAUUUCUGCUUUAUUGACUAUGCCAAAGCCUUUGACUGUGUGGAUCACAAGAAACUGUGGAAAAUUCUGAAAGAGAUGGGGAUACCAGACCACCUGACCUGCCUCUUGAGAAACCUGUAUGCAGGUCAGGAAGCAAGAGUUAGAACUGGACAUGGAACAACAGACUGGUUCCAAAUAGGAAAAGGAGUAUGUCAAAGCUGUAUAUUGUCACCCUGCUUAUUUAACUUAUAUGCAGAGUACAUCAUGAGAAAUGUUGGGCUGGAAGAAGCACAAGCUGGAAUCAAGAUUGCAGGGAGAAAUAUCAAUAACCUCAGAUAUGCAGAUGACACCACCCUUAUGGCAGAAAGUGAAGAAGAACUAAAAAGCCUCUUGAUGAAAGUGAAAGAGGAGAGUGAAAAAGUUGGCUUAAAGCUCAACAUUCAGAAAACUAAGAUCAAUGCCUCUGGUCCCAUCACUUCAUGGCGAAUAAAUGUGGAAACAGUGUCAGACUUUAUUUUGGGGGGCUCCAAAAUCACUGCAGAUGGUGAUUGCAGCCAUGAAAUCAAAAGACGCUUACUCCCUGGAAGGAAAAUUAUGACCAACCUAGAUAGCAUAUUGAAAAGCAGAGCUAUUACUUUGCCAACAAAGGUCUGUCUAGUCAAGGCUAUGGUUUUUCCAGUGGUCAUGUAUGGAUGUGAGAGUUGGACUGUGAAGAAAGCUGAGUACCGAAGAAUUGAUGCCUUUGAACUGUGGUGUUGGAGAAGACUCUUGAGAGUCCCUUGGACUGCAGGAAGGUCCAACCAGUCCAUCCUAAAGAUCAGCCCUGGGUGUUCAUUGGAAGGAAUGAUGCUGAAGCUGAAACUCCAGUACUUUGGCCACCUCAUGCGAAGAGUUGACUCAUUGGAAAAGACUCUGGUGCUGGGAGGGAUUGGGGGCAGAAGGAGAAGGGGACAACAGAGGACGAGAUGGCUGGAUGGACUGACUCAUGUCCAUCACCAACUUGAUGGAACUCCGGGAGUGAACUCCGGGAGUUGGUGA